rnacentral:rRNA from 1 species
UACGGAGGGUGCAAGCGUUAAUCGGAAUUACUGGGCGUAAAGCGCACGCAGGCGGUCUGUCAAGUCGGAUGUGAAAUCCCCGGGCUCAACCUGGGAACUGCAUUCGAAACUGGCAGGCUAGAGUCUUGUAGAGGGGGGUAGAAUUCCAGGUGUAGCGGUGAAAUGCGUAGAGAUCUGGAGGAAUACCAGUGGCGAAGGCGGCUUACUGGACAGUAACUGACGUUGAGGCUCGAAAGCGUGGGGAGCAAACAGG